CACUGUAGCUUCACAUUUUGUAGAUGUUGAAGGUGCCUAUAGUGGCAAUGUAGUUACAGGAAAUGAUAGUUGGGAAGCACGUAUUACUGCAGUGGAGAUACGAUUUGAAAGGCUUUCAAAACCUGACUUAACUAUUAACCUAGCUAAAAGUGAAUUUGGAAAUGCUACUGUGACUCACCUUAGUUCUGGUGUAGAUCUGGGCUUGGUUAAGGGAAAUGGUUAAGGAAAUACAUUAAACUCCAAUUUAGCAACAAAAGUAUAAUGUUACAGGAGUACAAUAUUUUGAUAACUCAUGUUAAAGGUAAAGAUAAUGUGAUUGCUGAUUGUCUAUCUCGAUGUUGACUGUACAAUGUAAUUUUUCUGGUGUGAUAUUUUUAUGUGUAACACUCCUGUGUAAUAAUUUGUAAGGUGCUGUAUGAAAGUACUGUGUUUGUUGUAAAUUUUAUACAUUCGUAUUAUUUCUUUUGUAAAUAGUUAAUUGUUAAAAUUUUGUUCAUUGCCAAUUUUUUUUUUGGAGGGAGGUGUUACGUACCCAUGGAUAUCCUGUGACUGUCACAUGAUCAUGAUGUAAUUGAGGCUGUGCUGGGCAUGUUGUAAUGGUCUUGUGCUGGUGGAGUGAUGCAAUGUUCCGGCCAAUGAGAGGUCAUGUGAUGGUUCUUUUUCAACAGGAUAUAAAAGGAGAAAGCCUUCCAGUGACGGAGGUCAGUUCAUGGUUUAAUUCGUCAGUGACUCCGUUCUACAUAUUUGAUUUUAUGACGCUGUUUCGUUUUAAAAUUGGGGUCUUAAUUUCUACUGUAAGAAUUGUUGUGCCGGCCGUUCUGAAAAUCACUGCCAGUUAAAGUCCAGUCGGAGAGUGAAGAUUUAUCGAAGUUCGGGAAGCCAAAGAAUUGAGGAAAGUUGCUGUUGUCGGCGGUAAAACAGGGUCGACCUUAUUUGAUCCUCUUUCGGAAGGAAUUAGUAACCUGCAAUCCAUGGUAGCUGCUGCUAAAAGAGCAGAAAGAGGUGAAUGCAGGGUUUUGCUAAGGAAAGGUCAGUGCCUUUAAGCUAUUUCAUUUUCCUGCAUCGUAAAUCCUUCAGGCAAGGCAGACUUCAGCAAGGAUCAGCAGUAACGUCACGACAGAGAAUUUAUUACUUCAAGGAAAAUCUCUCCUAACUAAAGCCUGUCUCAGUUCUAUAUUCAUUUUUGCUGGAUCGUAACAGGAGAGAGCUGGUAGACUACGGGACGGUCUGGACGGGGAUCUGAGGGUCCGAAGUUUGGCGAUGCUCAGAGCGGAGCGAUGGUAGUAAAAGGAGUCUGGAACACCAGAUUUAAAUGGCACAGGUCUACCCCUCAGAAGACUUCGAAACUUCCAGUUCCUCCACCGCUUUGAGUUUGGGAAUGUAAAGAAUGCUGUAGAACAUCAGACUCUGGUUUGGAAUAGGAGAGAGCUGUCAACGGAAAGUCAUGAAUGAAACAGAAUUCCAAUUGCAAUUCGGCUGCAUAAGUAUUACUCCAAUGUUCUGCUGUGUCGUAGAAUUACAGGCAAAAUUUUGAUUCGCAAAAAGAUAAGGGAAGCACUUACAAGAAGAAAUCUGCAGGUGCUGGAAAUUGAAGCAACACACACAAAAAGCUGGUGGAAAGCAGCAGGCCAGGCAACGUCUAUAGGAAGAAG